ensembl:snoRNA SNORA73 Small nucleolar RNA SNORA73 family
CCAACGUGGAUACCCCGGGAGGUCACUCUCCCCGGGCUCUGUCCUGGUGGCGUAGGGGAGCAUAGGGCUCUGCCCCGUGAUGUACAGUCCCUUUCCACACCGUUGGAGAUGAAGCCGGGCUUCGAGUCUGCGCCUGUAUAUUCCUACAGCUCCUCAGAGUCCUGUGGACCGUGACUGAGGAGACAAACCAUGCAGGAAACAAAA